GAUGAACGCUGGCGGCGUGCCUAAUACAUGCAAGUCGAGCGAACAGAUGAGGAGCUUGCUCCUCUGACGUUAGCGGCGGACGGGUGAGUAACACGUGGAUAACCUACCUAUAAGACUGGGAUAACUUCGGGAAACCGGAGCUAAUACCGGAUAAUAUAUUGAACCGCAUGGUUCAAUAGUGAAAGACGGUUUUGCUGUCACUGAUAGAUGGAUCCGCGCCGCAUUAGUUAGUUGGUAAGGUAACGGCUUACCAAGGCAACGAUGCGUAGCCGACCUGAGAGGGUGAUCGGCCACACUGGAACUGAGACACGGUCCAGACUCCUACGGGAGGCAGAAGUAGGGAAUCUUCCGCAAUGGGCGAAAGCCUGACGGAGCAACGCCGCGUGAGUGAUGAAGGUCUUCGGAUCGUAAAACUCUGUUAUUAGGGAAGAACACAUGUGUAAGUAACUAUGCACGUCUUGACGGUACCUAAUCAGAAAGCCACGGCUAACUACGUG
rnacentral:rRNA from 1 species